AUGCAAGUCGAACGAGAAAUCGGGCACUCAGGCAACUGAGUGCCGGAGAGUAAAGUGGCGCACGGGUGAGUAACACGUGGGUAACCUACCCCCGAAUCCGGGAUAACCUCGCGAAAGCGUUGCUAAUACCGGAUAUUGUCUUAUUGGUUUUGACCUUUGGGAUGAAAGGCAACCUCUUCAUGAAAGUUGUCGUUCAGGGAUGGGCCCGCGUACCAUUAGCUUGUUGGUGAGGUAACGGCUCACCAAGGCUACGAUGGUUAGCUGGUCUGAGAGGAUGAUCAGCCACACUGGAACUGAAACACGGUCCAGACUCCCACGGGAGGCAGCAGUGAGGAAUUUUGCGCAAUGGGGGAAACCCUGACGCAGCAACGCCGCGUGAGUGAAGAAGGCUUUCGGGUCGUAAAGCUCUGUCAAGUGGGAAAAAAAUCUGAUGAUUAAUAGUUGUCAGGUCUGAUGGUACCACUGGAGGAAGCACCGGCUAACUCCGUGCCAGCAGCCGCGGUAAUACGGAGGGUGCAAGCGUUGUUCGGAAUUACUGGGCGUAAAGGGCGUGCAGGCGGGUUGGUAAGUCAGAUGUGAAAGCCCUGGGCUUAACCCAGGAAGUGCAUUUGAAACUGCCAUCCUUGAGUAUGGGAGAGGAGAGUGGAAUUCCCAAUGUAGAGGUGAAAUUCGUAGAUAUUGGGAGGAACACCCGUGGCGAAGGCGACUCUCUGGACCAAUACUGACGCUGAGACGCGAAAGCGUGGGGAGCAAACAGGAUUAGAUACCCUGGUAGUCCACGCUGUAAACGAUGAGAACUAGGUGUAGCGGGUAUUGACCCCUGCUGUGCCGAAGUUAACGCAUUAAGUUCUCCGCCUGGGGAGUACGGCCGCAAGGCUAAAACUCAAAGGAUUUGACGGGGGCCCGCACAAGCGGUGGAGCAUGUGGUUUAAUUCGACGCAACGCGAAGAACCUUACCUGGGUUUGACAUCCUUUGACAGUCCCGGAAACGGGAUCUUUCCGACUUUGUCGGAACAGAGUGACAGGUGCUGCAUGGCUGUCGUCAGCUCGUGUCGUGAGACGUUGGGUUAAGUCCCGCAACGAGCGUAACCCUUGUCUUUAGUUGCCAGUAUUAGUUAGGCACUCUAAAGAGACUGCCUCGGUUAACGGGGAGGAAGGUGGGGAUGACGUCAAGUCCUCAUGGCCUUUAUACCCAGGGCUACACACGUGCUACAAUGGGCUGUACAAAGGGUAGCUAAUUCGCGAGGAAGCGCUAAUCCCAUAAAGCAGCUCUCAGUUCGGAUUGGAGUCUGCAACUCGACUCCAUGAAGGUGGAAUCGCUAGUAAUCGUGGAUCAGCACGCCACGGUGAAUACGUUCCCGGGCCUUGUACACACCGCCCGUCACACCACGAAAGUCGACUGUACCAGAAGUUGCUGGGCUAACUCCGUUUACGGGGAGGCAGGUACCUAAGGUACGGCCGGUAAUUGGGGUGAAGUCGUAACAAGGUA
rnacentral:rRNA from 1 species